rfam:Methylovorus glucosetrophus SIP3-4, complete genome.
GGGGCCGACCAGGUUUCGACGUGGGUUGCAAAGCAGUGCAGGGCAUACCGAGGCCUAGUCACCUCGUAAAUAAACUAGAAAAAAGUAUAGUCGCAAACGACGAAACUUACGCUUUAGCCGCUUAAUCCCGGCUGAACGCUGCACCGAAGAGCCUCUCGGUCGGGCGGGGUAAAACCCGCAGCAGCGUCAUAUAGAGAGGAUCGUGCGCUAUUGGGUUACUUAAUAACGCAUUAAAUCCAAGGUAACUCGCUUGAUAUUUGCUUGCUCGUUGGUGUGUAUCAAGUUAAAUCAAACAACACAGCUAAGUAUGUAGAACUGUCUGUGGAGGGCUUGCGGACGGGGGUUCGAUUCCCCCCGGCUCCACCA